CGCGAGGUAGAGAAGUGGCCAUCUCGGUGGCUUCAUAGGCCGCAGACCACAGGUUCAAAUCCUGUCCUCGCACCCA
rnacentral:tRNA from 1 species